CAAUAGCGUAUAUUAAAGUUGUUGCAGUUAGAAAGCUCGUAGUUGGAUUUCUGAUCGAGACAUCAGGUCGGGUCCGAGAGGAUCAUGUACUUUGAUUUUGUUUUGAUCAUCCUUGGGGAGAGCAUUUCUGGCAUUCAGUUGUCGGGAUUGGGAUCCUCAUCGUUUACUGUGAAAAAAUUAGAGUGUUCAAAGCAGGCCUCGGCCUCUGAAUACAUUAGCAUGGAAUAAUAAGAUAGGACUUUGGUGGUCUAUUUUGUUGGUUUGCACGCCAAAGUAAUGAUUAAUAGGGAUAGUUGGGGGUAUUCGUAUUCAAUUGUCAGAGGUGAAAUUCUUGGAUUUAUGGAAGACGAACUACUGCGAAAGCAUUUACCAAGGAUGUUUUCAUUAA
rnacentral:rRNA from 1 species